AGCAGCCGCGGUAAUUCCAGCUCCAAUAGCGUAUAUUAAAGUUGUUGCAGUUAAAAGCUCGUAGUUGAAUUUCGGGAUUGACACAUCGGUCGUGCCUUAAGGGGUGUGAACUGGUGUAGUCAAUUUCUCACCUUCUGGAGAACCGCGAUGUCCUUAAUUGGGUGCCGCGAGGAACCAGGACCUUUACUUUGAAAAAAUUAGAGUGUUUAAAGCAGGCAUUUUUGCUUGAAUACAUUAGCAUGGAAUAAUAAAUAGGACGGCAUGAUUCUAUUUUGUUGGUUUCUAGGAUCACCGUAAUGAUUAAUAGGGAUAGUUGGGGGCAUUAGUAUUCAAUUGUCAGAGGUGAAAUUCUUGGAUUUAUUGAAGACUAACUACUGCGAAAGCAUUUGCCAAGGAUGUUUUCAUUAAUCAAGGACGAAAGUUAGGGGGAUCGAAGACGAUCAGAUACCGUCGUAGUCUUAACCAUAAACUAUGCCGACUAGGAAUCAGACGAUGUAAUUUUUUCAAUGACUCGUUCGGC
rnacentral:rRNA from 1 species